rnacentral:rRNA from 1 species
UACAGAGGGGGCAAGCGUUGUUCGGAAUUACUGGGCGUAAAGGGCGCGUAGGCGGCCUGUUAAGUCGAACGUGAAAUCCCCGGGCUCAACCGGGGAACUGCGUCCGAAACUGGCAGGCUCGAAUUCGGGAGAGGGAUGCGGAAUUCCAGGUGUAGCGGUGAAAUGCGUAGAUAUCUGGAGGAACAUCGGUGGCGAAGGCGGCAUCCUGGACCGAUAUUGACGCUGAGGCGCGAAAGCCAGGGGAGCAAACGGG